AUACACAGAAACAGUUACCAAACAAGAAACAUAAUUUAAGUAGUUCUCCAUUACAGAAAUGAAACAUCUUACAGAGGAGUAAUUUUGUCUCAGCUCUGAAAUUCUUAUCUGCCUUGCAAAAUAAUUGCCUUGGAUUAGGGUAAACUUCAAGGAAGAUUCAUGACUGUGAACUCUGAAUGGAAGGAUGUUCACUUUUCUGGACCACAGUUGGAAAUUUAGAUCCAUUAGAAGAUUAAGGAACGGGACUCAUCCUUAUGUCAUUUCCAAGAUUCGGACAAACCUUUAACAGUUUUGAGUACAAAUUUCCCAAAUGACUUUUCAAAUUAUAAAUUCUACAUCAUCAUCAGAGAGAGAUUUUUUUCCUUUUCUUGAUAUGUCACAAAAUGUAAGGAAAUGCUGAAAUCUUCCCAG
rnacentral:lncRNA from 1 species